UAGAGUUGUAAAACUCCCAAACCCAUGUGAACAUACCUCUGUUGCCUCGGUGGCCUACCCGGUAGCUACCCUGUAGUCGCCCCGUAGUCUGCCGACGGACCACUAAACUCUGUUUUUUUAAUAUCUCUGAGUCAACUAUAAAUAAGUUA
rnacentral:misc_RNA from 1 species